rnacentral:rRNA from 1 species
CAGUAGCCGCGGGAAUACGAAGGGGGCUAGCGUUGCUCGGAAUGACUGGGCGUAAAGGGUGCGUAGGCGGUUUGGCAAGUCUUGUGUGAAAUCUUCGGGCUCAACCCGAAGCCUGCACGAGAAACUGCCGGGCUUGAGUAUUGGAGAGGUGAGUGGAAUUUCCGGUGUAGCGGUGAAAUGCGUAGAUAUCGGAAGGAACACCUGUGGCGAAAGCGGCUCACUGGACAAUAACUGACGCUGAUGCACGAAAGCUAGGGGAGCAAACAGGAUUAGAUACCCGUGUAGUCCCUGUCUCUUAUAC